GACGAACGCUGGCGGCGUGCUUAACACAUGCAAGUCGAACGGAAAGGCCCUGCUUUUGUUGGGUGCUCGAUUGGCGCACGGGUGAGUAACACGUGAGUAACCUGCCCUUGACUUUGGGAUAACUUCAGGAAACUGGGGCUCAUACCGGGUAGGAGCUCCUGAUGCAUGGUGGUGGUUGGAAAGUUUCGGCGGUUGGGGAUGGAAUCGCGGCUUCUCCGCUUGUUGGUGGGGUAGUGGAUUUCCAAGGUUUUGACGGGUAGCCGGCCUGGGAGGGUGACCGGCCACAAGGCUCCUGAGAGACGGCCCAGACUCCUACGGGAGGCAGUAGUGGGGAACAUUGCACAAUGGGCGGAAGCGUGAGGCAGCAACCCUGGGUUCGGGAAGAUCGGUUAUGAGGUGUAAACCGCUGUCGACGGUGACGAAGCGGGCGUGACGGUAAUGGGUAAAGAAGCACCGGCUAACUACGUG
rnacentral:rRNA from 1 species